rnacentral:piRNA from 1 species
UAAUUCAUGAGGGAACCAUCUCGGGAAGA